AACUGAUACUACCUGCGGGAACCUGCGGAGGGAUCAUUAACACGUAUCCAAACGAUACCAACCCUUGUGUGAACUUGUAACUGUUAAAUCGGACACUGGGACUUUGCGUCUCUUUGUCCGGGUGUCCUUGUUGCUCGCCAACUCGGAUACCGUUAUUUACUCUAUUUACCAAACCCCUUUUCUUGUUGACUGACAUUACGUCUCUGUUUCGAAAGGAAGGAGACUUGCAAUUCUGGCUUC
rnacentral:misc_RNA from 1 species